UCGAUGGCGUGAACCAACAAAAAUGUAGAAAAAAUUCACAAAAUUAUCCUGGAAGAUUGACGGCAAACCAUCGAAGAAGUAGUGGAGAGAUCUGGUGUGACAUGGAGUUCAGUACAGAGAAUUUUAAGUGAAGAUUUGGGGUUGAGACGGGUGGCUGCAAAAUUUGUUCCUCGACUGCUAACUGAGCAGCAAAAACAAGGCCGCCUGAAAUCAU